rnacentral:rRNA from 1 species
CCUACGGGUGGCAGCAGUGGGGAAUAUUGCACAAUGGGGGAAACCCUGAUGCAGCGACGCCGCGUGAGUGAAGAAGUAAUUCGUUACGUAAAGCUCUAUCAGCAGGGAAGAAACACUGACCUUACGGUCAGCAGACGGUACCUGAGUAAGAAGCCCCGGCUAACUACGUGCCAGCAGCCGCGGUAAUACGUAGGGGGGAAGCGUUAUCCGGAUUUACUGGGUGUAAAGGGAGCGUAGACGGUGCGCCAAGGCUGGCGUGAAAGGCGGGGGCUCAACCCCCGGACUGCUCUGGAAACUGUACGGCUGGAGUGCAGGAGAGGUAAGUGGAAUUCGUGGUGUAGCGGUGAAAUGCGUAGAUAUUAGGAAGAACACCAGUGGCGAAGGCGGCUUACUGGACUGUAACUGACGUUGAGGCUCGAAAGCGUGGGGAGCAAACAGGAUUAGAUACCCCUGUAGUC